AUUGAACGCUGGCGGCAUGCUUUACACAUGCAAGUCGAACGGUAACAGGCCGCAAGGUGCUGACGAGUGGCGAACGGGUGAGUAAUGCAUCGGAACGUGCCCAGUCGUGGGGGAUAACUACUCGAAAGAGUAGCUAAUACCGCAUACGAUCUAUGGAUGAAAGCGGGGGACCGUAAGGCCUCGCGCGAUUGGAGCGGCCGAUGUCAGAUUAGGUAGUUGGUGGGGUAAAGGCUCACCAAGCCAACGAUCUGUAGCUGGUCUGAGAGGACGGCCAGCCACACUGGGACUGAGACACGGCCCAGACUCCCACGGGAGGCAGCAGUGGGGAAUUUUGGACAAUGGGCGCAAGCCUGAUCCAGCAAUGCCGCGUGCAGGAAGAAGGCCUUCGGGUUGUAAACUGCUUUUGUACGGAACGAAACGGCUCUGGUUAAUACCCGGGGCUAAUGACGGUACCGUAAGAAUAAGCACCGGCUAACUACGUG
rnacentral:rRNA from 1 species